rnacentral:rRNA from 1 species
GAUGAACGCUGGCGGCGUGCCUAAUACAUGCAAGUCGAGCGAACAGAUAAGGAGCUUGCUCCUUUGACGUUAGCGGCGGACGGGUGAGUGACACGUGGGUAACCUACCUAUAAGACUGGGAUAACUUCGGGAAACCGGAGCUAAUACCGGAUAACAUUUGGAACCGCAUGGUUCUAAAGUGAAAGAUGGUUUUGCUAUCACUUAUAGAUGGACCCGCGCCGUAUUAGCUAGUUGGUAAGGUAACGGCUUACCAAGGCAACGAUACGUAGCCGACCUGAGAGGGUGAUCGGCCACACUGGAACUGAGACACGGUCCAGACUCCUACGGGAGGCAGCAGUAGGGAAUCUUCCGCAAUGGGCGAAAGCCUGACGGAGCAACGCCGCGUGAGUGAUGAAGGGUUUCGGCUCGUAAAACUCUGUUAUUAGGGAAGAACAAAUGUGUAAGUAACUGUGCACGUCUUGACGGUACCUAAUCAGAAAGCCACGGCUAACUACGUG